rnacentral:misc_RNA from 1 species
GAUGAAGAACGCAGCGAAAUGCGAUAAGUAGUGUGAAUUGCAGAAUUCAGUGAAUCAUCGAAUCUUUGAACGCACAUUGCGCUCCUUGGUAUCCCGAGGGGCAUGCCUGUUCGAGCGUCAUUUCACCACUCAAGCCUGGCUUGGUGUUGGGCGACGUCCCCUUUGGGGACGCGCCUCGAAACGCUCGGCGGCGUGGCACCGGCUUUAAGCGUAGCAGAAUCUUUCGCUUUGGAAGUCGGGGCCCCGUCUGCCGGAAGACCUACUCGCAAGGUUGACCUCGGAUCAGGCAGGGAUACCCGCUGAACUUAAGCAUAUCAAUAAGCGGAGGA